rnacentral:rRNA from 1 species
AUUGAACGCUGGCGGCAUGCCUUACACAUGCAAGUCGAACGGUAGAGGGGGCAACCCCUCGAGAGUGGCGAACGGGUGAGUAAUAUAUCGGAACGUGCCCAGUCGUGGGGAUAACGUAGCGAAAGUUACGCUAAUACCGCAUACGAUCUAAGGAUGAAGGCGGGGGAUCGCAAGACCUCGCGCGAUUGGAGCGGCCGAUAUCAGAUUAGGUAGUUGGUGGGGUAAAGGCUCACAAAGCCAACGAUCUGUAGCUGGUCUGAGAGGACGACCAGCCACACUGGAACUGAGACACGGUCCAGACUCCUACGGGAGGCAGCAGUGGGGAAUUUUGGACAAUGGGCGCAAGUCUGAUCCAGCCAUUCCGCGUGCAGGAUGAAGGCCCUCGGGUUGUAAACUGCUUUUGUACGGAACGAAAAGGUCUCUCUUAAUACGGGGGGCUCAUGACGGUACCGUAAGAAUAAGCACCGGCUAACUACGUGCCAGCCGCCGCCGUAA